ensembl:lncRNA
AUGACCUUACCCUCCGAGCGAAGGUCACACUCGUCCAGAGCCUGGUCCUGAGCCGUGGUUUGGGCACCGGACACCCCCGCCCCCCGGGCUGGAAGUUCCUCCUUGGCCUCCCUUUCCCCAUCUCCUCCACCAGCACCCUGUGCUCUGGUCUCUGGGCCUGUCUGCCUGCCGUGGUUUACAAGCCCCGCGAGAGACACAGUCACGUCUGUCUGUGUCUGGGCUGUCUCACUCACCUGAGGCCUCUGGGCCCGCACGCCGUCCCAACGGCUGCACAUCCUCCUCCCUGGCUGAGCAGCGUCCCGUUGUGCGUGUGUGAACACCCUGCGUCUGCGCUGGCCCACCCCUCACGGACACCUGGGCCUGCGGCCAUGGGUGCUGUGGACGAAGCUGAGACAACCGCGGACAUGUGGACACCGGGCUGAGUCUGUGUUGCCAUUCAGGGUUUGCCCAGACCCGACAGCGUCCCUAAUGGGAUAGUGUCAGUCAGCAAGAGACUCCGGCUGACUCCAAACCAGACCCUCAGACACCUGCUUUUCACGGAGGCAGUUGUGUACAGUCCUGUGGACCUCAAGCCUCAGACCCUGCGGCCACCACAGCCAGGACCUGCGCCCGGUGGCAGUCAAAACUGGGGCCAUACAGGUGAAUCCAGGGCCACAGCUGUAAGCCGGGGCCACUGACGGGCACCAACAGAACCCACAGGCGGGGGAGCUCACAGACAGAUUCUGGUAGCCGGACAUGUGCGACCCCAUGCUGGCAUGUGGUGGGGGCCUUGCUGGCUUGUAGGAGUGGAGGGCUGUCUGCAGUCUCGCUGCCUUUCCAAGAGCGUGGGAACGAGAGUGUGGGGUCUCCCCCUGCCCCCCGUCCUCUCAUCGCACCAGGGCCCCACUCUGAUGACUGCCUUCAGUCUUAAUUGCCUCCUAAGAGCCCUGUCUUCAGGAACUGUUGCACUGGGUGUUAGGGCUUCAAUAUAGGAGUUUUAGGGGCCAUAGCCCUGUCCAGGGCAGAGUCACAGAC